UGGAAGUGGGUGUUGAUGGAAAAAAAAUGCUGCUUUUCCUGCUAUCUCUAAGGAGAGGAGAUGUAUGGGGAAGAACACUAUGACAACAUCAUACAUUUCACCACGGUGCCAAGAACUGUAGAGAAAUGCAGAGCCCAACAUCUUUCCUCAUUUAAUCCUCAGAACCAUCUGGUAAAUUGUAUUUCAGCUCCAGGUCCAGAAAAGCAGCAAAGCCAGGUGGGCAACACCAGGACCAGCUGCAGUGACUAAUGACCCCCCUGCCCUGGCGCUGACCAAUCGGUGGAGACUAUGACCGUGAAAGAGUACACCUGGAAGAGCUGAUGAAUACCCUGUUGAGAUCCUUCCCUAAGACCUCCCCUACACUCCCAGCCUGUGAAACCCUCAGACAUAGGACCCAGCCUGCACUCUCCCUCUCCCUCCCAGUAGCAUGCCUGUGCUUUUCUCUUCCCCUUCUUUUUCCCCUACAGGCAUGCAUCUCCUAAACUCUAAAGGUCCCCACAAGACUUGCAGCUGGGGAGUAAUGAGCAACAGUGGCUUUUAACCCCCUGACUCUCCAGUGAGCAGACAGCAGCCCCACCUUGGCUCACUUCUUUCCUGCAACAUUUUUAGAGAACCAAAGCAGCCCAGCCUAGUCUCUCUACUGUUGCUUCUCCUAUCCUAAACCCUUCCUUGUUUCCCUCUCCCCAGCUUUAA